rnacentral:lncRNA from 1 species
CCGAAUAGGAACAGCUCCGGUCUACAGCUCCCAGCGUGAGCGACGCAGAAGACGGGUGAUUUCUGCAUUUCCAUCUGAGAAGCACUGAGUGGUUCCCUGAUUCAGUGGAAGCCAGACAUCCUAUCUAAACCUCUAGAACACCAGGGUCCCGGCUGCUGAGAACUCCAGGCACACGAGGCUGCUUGGGAAAGACUGGAGAAGUGCCAGGAGGAUUAAUUACAGCAGUUAAUGUUUCCAUUUGAAAGGAGAUGAUACUCUGAUCGAAUUAUACUCUGCUCCUUGCCCCAUCUAAUAUUUAUUUGCACAUUAAAGAUAACACGACUGGCUAGAAUUGGCUUCUGAAUAUGUGUGCUCCUUAUCAAGGCCACAGUUUACAGCUUUGCUAGGGAGAGCUAUGGUAAUGAACUACUUGAUCUUUUUUUUUUUUUUUUUUUGAGACGGAGCCUCGCUCUGUCGUCCAGGCUGGAGUGCAGUGGCGCGAUCUCGGCUCACUGCAACCUCCACCUCCCAGGUUCAAGCAGUUCUCCUACCUCAGCCUCCUGCGUAGCUGGGACUACUACAGGCGUGCGCCACCAUGCCCAGCUAAUUUUUGUAUUUUUAGUACAGACAGGAUUUCACCAUGUUGGCCAGGACGGUCCCAAUCUCUUGACCUCGUGAUCGGCCCUCCUCGGCCUCCCAAAGUUCUGGGAUUACAGGCGUGAGCCACUGCGCCCA